CUGGCUCAGGAUGAACGCUAGCUACAGGCUUAACACAUGCAAGUCGAGGGGCAGCAUGUGGUUGCUGCAACCAAUGAUGGCGACCGGCGCACGGGUGAGUAACGCGUAUCCAACCUUCCCCUUAGUAGAGGAUAGCCCGGCGAAAGUCGGAUUAAUACUCUAUGUUCUUCAAUGCGGACAUCUAAGUUGAAGCAAAGAUUUAUCGCUAAGGGAUGGGGAUGCGUCUGAUUAGGUUGCAGGCGGGGUAACGGCCCACCUGGCCUACGAUCAGUAGGGGUUCUGAGAGGAAGGUCCCCCACACUGGUACUGAGACACGGACCAGACUCCUACGGGAGGCAGCAGUGAGGAAUAUUGGUCAAUGGGCGCGAGCCUGAACCAGCCAAGUAGCGUGCAAGGACGACUGCCCUAUGGGUUGUAAACUGCUUUUAUCAGGGAAUAAAGUGAGGCACGCGUGCCUUUUUGUAUGUACCUGAUGAAUAAGGACCGGCUAAUUCCGUGCCAGCCGCGGC
rnacentral:rRNA from 1 species